rnacentral:lncRNA from 12 species
AUGUACCUACCGUUGUGUGAGAGAAUUCUUGGGGCUGAUUAUUCCACUGGUCACAAUGACUCCUGCCAAUUAGGUGACAAAUGCAGGAGGGAGCAAGAAAUCUCAACUCUUAUAUAUACUGGAGUGGAUUUCUGUGAUAAUAAAGAUAUGUCCUGUAUUCAUGGCCAACUUUGUUUGGUGGGAUUGGGAACAACCGGACAGUGUGGUAUGUAUUUUAUCCAUUUUUUAACUCCCAGAAUUGCAAGCCUCACAAUAGUGUUAGGUUAGUAAAUAUUUAGGGGGUGUGGAUAUGAAUGCUAUUUGGUCUUUUGCCUUCAUGUAUUUGCUGUUUUUAUCCAGCAGUGAGGCUCCUUUUUUUCCUGCCUGUUAAAAUCAUUCCUUCCCUUUUCAUGUCUUCCAUGAAACUUGGGGAAAAAAAAAUCUCCUCAGUGAAAUUCAGUACUAAAUUUUGGGGAUCGUUUCUUUGUGACUUUCAUCAUAGUUAUGUACCAUCUUAACCUUCACUUCCUACUCCUUCAGGACUGGGUUGUGUGUCCUUAAGCUACUGAAGUUACUUUCUACUGAAGUUACUUUCAACCCUUAAAUACCAAGAUUUUGUGAUUAUCUCUGUCUCCUCUAAUAGCUUAUCCAUUAUAGGUUUUUCACAAGUGUUUGCUCUUCCUAAAGGGGAGUAAAUAUCUCCUCCCCUGUUUGCUCAUUAUUGUUUGUGCCUUUACAUAUAAUAUUUACUAUAUAUUCCUUAUAUAUAGUAUUUGCCUUGAGUUCAUUGCCUUGUUUCUAUCUUUACCACUUGAAUCUUUGAGGAAUAAGUGAUAGAAUUGCUUAUAUUUAUAUUCUUCUGUUCCCUGACCUAGAUCUAAAUUUUACUAAAUCAUUUGGAUGAAUUAAUUUAUCAACUAGAAAUUGAUCUAACAUAUUUCUGGGUGAAAUGAUUCAUGGAAUGGUACAAAGUAUCAAUUGAACAAUCCCUGGAAAAAAUACCUCUUUAGAUGAAGAAAUAGUGUUUGAGAUAUUCAGAAAAAGAAUAUCUGUAGAUUGUAGAAAUUUAACUUACUCUUUCUAUAUUUCUUGAAAAUGUGUCCUAUUGGAUUAUAAUCUCUUUGAGGGUAGGAUUGCAUUUGCACCACUUCUUUGUAACUUUUAUCAUAGAUGUAACUUUAUAUGUACAUAUAUAUAUAAAUUACAGUUUAUACAAAUUACUUAUAUGUAAUUAUUUUGUUAUGACUAAAUGCACUGGUAUUUUUUUUGAAUUUCAGCCUGAAAUAGGUUUUAUUUUUAAUUUUUUCUUAAUUUUUUUAUUGGGGUUCAAUUUGCCAACAUAUAGCAUAACACUGCACUGGUAUUUUAUAUCACCAAGAAAAGCCAUUUCUGAGCCUUGUAAUAUUUUUUUUUAUUUUUUUUAAUAAUUUUUUUUAUUUAUUUAUGAUAGUCACAGAGAGAGAGAGAGAGAGAGGCAGAGACUCAGGCAGAGGGAGAAGCAGGCUCCAUGCACCGGGAGCCCGAUGUGGGAUUCGAUCCCGGGUCUCCAGGAUCGCGCCCUGGGCCAAAGGCAGGCGCCAAACCGCUGCGCCACCCAGGGAUCCCUGAUCCUUGUAAUAUUUUAGCAGACUCUUAUAUGGAGUGAUUUCAAAUAAUUUUUUAUGCCUAUGAAAUAUUUACAAUUUUUCUGGACACAUACCUUGCGUGUUAUAGAACCAUCUGAAAGAAUGAAAGUGCCAUUAAUACUUCCAUCACUCUACAAGAAAUGAAAAGGAUACCAACACAUGUGAUCAAAUGCAUGAAUCAUAUUAUUUUUAGAAAUCUGUACAGUAUAGCAAAACUAAAGAAGAAACAAUAAGAACCCACAUCCCUUUAUUUUUGUAUUUUUUUAUAUAUUUUUGUUAAAAUCAAAAUGGUGAUAGAUGGUGAUCAUAAUAUAUCAGUAUUCAGUCUUUCAGGAUCUGUAAAAACAAAACAAAAUACCAUGAGCCAUUAAUUAAAAGUAUGUAAGCUCUUUCUUCUUCCAUUGUUUUUUUUUUUUAAUUUUAUUUAAAUUCCAGUUAGUUAACAUACAGUGUAAUAUUAGUUUCAGGUGUACAAUAUAGUGAUUCAGCACUUCCAUAUGCUACCCAUCCAGUGCUCAUCACAACAAAUGCACUCCUUAAUCCUCAUCAGCUAUCUCACCCAUCCCCCCCACCACGUCCCCUCUGGUGACCAUCAGUUUGUUCUCUGUAGUUAAGAGUCUGUUUCUUGGUUUGCCUCUCUCACUCCUUUCUCCCCCUUUUGUUCUUUUGUCCACAUAUGAGUAAAAUCAUAUGGUUCUUGUCUUUCUCUGACUUAUUUCUCUUAGCAUAGUACUCUCUAGCUCCAUCCAGUUGUUUUACAAUGGCUGAAUGCUAGAAAGAACAUGGAAGCUGGGACUCUUGAGUUAAAUCGAUCUGAGUUUGAAGACUAGUCUGCCAUUUAAAUUUUGUAGUCUUUGGAAAGUCCCAUAAAUUCUCAUAGCUUCAGCUUCCUCAUCUUUAAAGGGAGACAGUGAUAUCAGCUUUACAAGCGUGCUAUGAGUAUUAAAUGAGAAUUAGUACAAGAACAAUUCAGUGUAGUAACAGUGUUGGAACUAUUCUAAAUGUUCUGCAAUUGGUAUCUUUUUAUGUUAUAUAAUUGGGAUAAUUCUCAUUUAUCUUUGUAAUUAGGAUCAACCUGUAUUUAGAAAUAGAGCAAUAUGUGGGGAUCCCUGGGUGGCUCAGCGGUUUAGCACCUGCCUUUCUUUGGCUCAGGGCAUGAUCUUGGGGUCCCAGGAUUGAGUCCUGCAUCAGGCUUCCUGCAUGGAGCCUGCUUCUCCCUCUGCCUAUGACUCGGCCUCUCUCUCUCUCAUAUUUAUUUUAUGAAUAAAUAAAUACAAUCUUUUAAAAAAAUAGAGCA